rnacentral:rRNA from 1 species
GACGAACGCUGGCGGCGUGCUUAACGCAUGCAAGUCGAACGGAAAGGCCUGCUUUCCCUUGUGGAUUGCGGGUACUCGAGUGGCGAACGGGUGAGUAACACGUGAGUGAUCUGCCCCCAACUUGGGUAUAAGCCUGGGAAACUGGGUCUAAUUCCCGAUAGGACUGCAGGGUGGUGCCUGUGGUGGAAAACGAUUUUCUAGUGGUUGGGGAUGAGCUCGCGGCCUAUCAGCUUGUUGGAGGGGUAAUGGCCUACCAAGGCGGCGACGGGUAGCCGGCCUGAGAGGGUGGACGGCCACAUUGGGACUGAGAUACGGCCCAGACUCCUACGGGAGGCAGCAGUGGGGAAUAUUGCACAAUGGGCGGAAGCCUGAUGCAGCGACGCCGCGUGGGGGAUGACGGCCUUCGGGUUGUAAACUCCUUUCGACCGCGAGGAAGCCACCUGGUUGGAAGGGUGGUGACGGUAGUGGUAGAAGAAGCACCGGCUAACUACGUG